AUUGAACGCUGGCGGCAGGCCUAACACAUGCAAGUCGAGCGGAUGAAGGGAGCUUGCUCCUGGAUUCAGCGGCGGACGGGUGAGUAAUGCCUAGGAAUCUGCCUGGUAGUGUGGGAUAACGUCCGGAAACGGGCGCUAAUACCGCAUACGUCCUGAGUGAGAAAGUGGGUGAUCUUCGUACCUCACGCUAUCAUAUGAGCCUAGGUCGGAUUAGCUAGUUGGUGGGGUAAAGGCCUACCAAGGCGACGAUCCGUAACUGGUCUGAGAGGAUGAUCAGUCACACUGGAACUGAGACACGGUACAGACUCCUACGGGAGGCAGCAGUGGGGAAUAUUGGACAAUGGGCGAAAGCCUGAUACAGCAAUGCCGCGUGUGUGAAGAAGGUCUUCGGAUUGUAAAGCACUUUAAGUUGGGAGGAAGGGAAGUAAGUUAAUACAUUGCUGUUUUGACGUUACCAACAGAAUAAGCACCGGCUAACUUCGUG
rnacentral:rRNA from 1 species